rnacentral:lncRNA from 1 species
CCAGAAUGUACACCGGGAUUACACAUUCCAUCUGGUUACAAAUAUCAGGAACUCUGUGCUUUUGUCUGUGCUCAAGACAGUUUGUGCAUGCCAUCCACUUUUCAGGACCCACAGCUGUUCUCGUGUCAUCUCAGGUAGUGGAGAGAGGGGAACAGACAUUACCAAAUUCAACCUGGUAUAUCCACCCAUCCAUCAGAGCUGAAUUUUCUCAGAUUUAAUUUCCUCUUAAUUACUCAAAGUAGCUUCAGAUGCUUUCUAGAGCAAAUAACAUUAUCUGUUUACAGAUGGUAAAAUGUAUUUCAUUUGUGCUUUCAACAAGUAGGAGGAAUCAGUCUAAUUAAUGAAUUGUAUCAUAGCCUAAAACAAUCAUAUUAACUUUGAAGAACACUGUGCAUAAGCAUGUAGCUUUAGAUCAUUA